GAUGAAGAACGCAGCGAAAUGCGAUAAGUAGUGUGAAUUGCAGAAUUCAGUGAAUCAUCGAAUCUUUGAACGCACAUUGCGCCCCUUGGUAUUCCAUGGGGCAUGCCUGUUCGAGCGUCAUUUGUACCUUCAAGCUCUGCUUGAUGUUGGGUGUUUGUCUCGCCUCUGCGUGUAGACUCGCCUCAAAACAAUUGGCAGCCGGCGUAUUGAUUUCGGAGCGCAGUACAUCUCGCGCUUUGCACUCAUAACGACGACGUCCAAAAGUACAUUUUUACACUCUUGACCUCGGAUCAGGUAGGGAUACCCGCUGAACUUAAGCAUAUCAAUAAGCGGAGGA
rnacentral:misc_RNA from 1 species